rnacentral:lncRNA from 1 species
GGGAUUUGUUCUUGUUAUGACAAAGGAAGUGGAUUUACCAAGUGCCUGGGGGCACACCCCUCCGCGGCUUUCAAUUUGCUCGAGUUGCUAUGAAGAAACAGGACAAAAUGCGUGGGGGUUUUCGCCAUGCGCUUCGGCGCUGCCGGAGCCCUCCCCGGGCCACGGUCUGCAUGGAGAUGCCUUUUCCUCCUGCUCCUCACCAGUCACACCAUGGCCAACGUUAGUGCAGAUCAUCCCUGGCCAGUGGCAAUGCAGCUGUGGGCUGGCACGUUCUGCGCCUACAGGGAGGAAAGGGGACCUUCAGGAAAACAACUCUUGCCAGGUCUCCAGAACUGAACAAACGUCCUGUUUUGCGGAGCCAUGAGCACCACAAAAGAUAACCACAAAUUUCACCUGAUACAUCCACGGUCUGGAAAGAGAUUAUUUUUCUUGACGCUGAGCUGACUUUUCUGACCAUCUCAAAGUAGACUUGGAGUCAACUGUGGGGUCCCAGGAGGGAAAAGGAGAAGCGAGUCAUGUUGUGGCUAUCAGCAUUUCAC